CGCUGGGGAAAAGAAAAAUGUUUUGUGUUUUUGCCACUGCCCCAUUGGUUUGUGGGCCUGUGUGUUCCUGUAGAGGCCUGACUCACUUCUCCUUCGUCACAGAGCUCCCAGCAAUGUCCUGGCCACAUUCUCAUUAAGGUCCCAAUGCUAAAGUCUUGAGAUCUGCUCCUGGGCCAGGAGGUGGGGAGACAAUGCAGAAAUUGCUUCCUCUGGAACAGCCUUCAUUGGAAUUCUGCGAAAGUGAAGGCCAUUUGGAACUUAGAGAGAGAGGUGACCCCAUAGGUUCUCUUUCUGGAAAGGAUUUGUGUAACAGGCUGGUACAUGGAUGCCUAUUCCACCCAAGGACCACGAGAAGAGCCAGCAGAACGGCUGAUCAAAGCUCAAGAGCAUGGCUGUUUUCCUCAGAGCUUCAGGCAGCUGCUUCUCCCCUCCUGGGGGCUCCAGUGGCGAUGGAGAUGGGUCCUCAGGUUAAGAGCAGAGACUGCAUUGAUCCCUUAAACCUGCCUUUCAGCUUCAAACCUUCGGAAGUGUUCUCCGAAGCCUCCAUAAAACCAAGGGAAACACAGGUAAGCAGCCACCAGAAAGCUCCUUGGCCACCCUCCCCGCCAGCCAUGACCUUCC
rnacentral:lncRNA from 1 species